rnacentral:rRNA from 1 species
AUACGGGGGGUGCAAGCGUUAAUCGGAAUUACUGGGCGUAAAGCGCGCGUAGGCGGUUGGACAAGUUGGAUGUGAAAGCCCCGGGCUCAACCUGGGAAUGGCAUCCAAAACUGUCCGACUAGAGUUCGGUAGAGGGGAGUGGAAUUCCACAUGUAGCGGUGAAAUGCGUAGAUAUGUGGAGGAACACCAGUGGCGAAGGUGGCUCCCUGGAUCGAAACUGACGCUGAGGUGCGAAAGCGUGGGUAGCAAACAGGAUUAGAAACCCCAGUAGUCC